rnacentral:piRNA from 1 species
CCCGGCCAACGCAUCAGCUUUUU